UGUGUCAAAAUUUCAUGAGAUCUCAGAAUAGAGAUCAAUUCACUCUUAAAAGAACUUUGCCUUUGAGGAAUCGCUUGGCCAACAGUGAAUGGAUGAACGGAACAGUAUGGGAAAUAGUGGGAAGGUUUCUAAGGCUGGAAUAAAGGUAAUCAGAGCAGGGAGAAGUCACAGAAAAUGAGGCUGAAGAGAUAUACAUUGACAAUCAAACAAGCCCAGAAAAUAUCCUGGAGUAUUUAUAAAGAAACGUGCAAAUGUGUGAGGAUGCAAAGUGUGUGCUGUGGGAAAGGUCUGCGACGUGGGCUGUUCUCUCUUCAGGUGAAAGAAAACAACAACAAUAAAACUAAGGACUCAUGACUAAAGCUAAAUAUAUCAACACACCAGACACACCUCUCUCGUCUCCAAGGCCAGUGUAUUAUCUAUGGGCUACAUCAAGUUGCUUCCAACAACAAGUUGAUGUGGUUGUAAACGUCUAUGUCAAGCUGCUUCCAGCUUGUCUGGCCUGUCAUCCUUUCUUUUAACUUUGACAAAGUGCCUGAGCCCUGACAUCCAAAGCAAUGUCUUCCCAGACAGCAGAACAUUGGCGCAGAGCUGUUAAGGCAGCUUUCUGGGCUGUUCUCUGUGAUCCACUGCCCUGUGAUCCCCAAGCCUGGAGACCUUGGGCCUUUUCAUGUGCAGGGAAUUGAUUUGGAAACCUUGAGCAUUGAUCAGACUUCACCUUGAUGCAACUCAGUUUAAUCAUGACAUGAAUAAAAAAUGGUUACAUUUCCUUUGC